CUCCCUGCCCUGCCCCAUUGCCGGGGGCUGCUAGGCACCCCCUUGUGGCCAGCUGUGGCAUAGCAGCUCUCCAGUCCCCCCAGCCCCAUGGGGAUUUCCAGUGACCCAGCUGGGUCACCAUCUUCAGUCCCCACCUUCUGAGGUCACCACUGUCCAAAGUGAGCAUCCCAAGCUGAACAAACCCUCCCACCUCUCUGGGCUAUUCCUCAGUCUGCCUUCAGGGCUCAGCUUGCAGCCCCCCUGGAAGAGUUGCCCCCCCCGGGCUUCAGCCCCAGGCCCCGUAUGCCACAGCUAGGUCUUCUGCUUUCUCCUGGGCCACUUCCUACUAAGCCGCUUACCUUCUCCCCGGCCUCCCUGCUCUGAGCAGCCUACCUGGUUCUCCUCACAGCUGGGCUUCAUCACCCCUCCAGCCAGGUUCUCCCUCUCUGCUGCAGCCACCUUCUGCCCUUUGUAGGGAAGUGCCCAGUCCCCUCAAGUGGGGCUUGGUCCAUAAUCAGGUUGGCUUAGGCCCCAGCUCUCCAGCCCACGGGACUGUUACUACCUGGGUUGGAAGCUCCUUGGGGCAGGGACUCGCUCUUGGUUGCGUGGGUUCCAGGCCCAGCUCCAUGGAGGGCCCCGACCCCCAUCUGGAUCCACAGGACGCCUGCGAUACACCUGGCGUUUCCCACACCGGUGAAACACUCGCCCUACGUGACGGUUGGUUUCCCCACUUUUCCAGGGCCAGCCUCCUGCAGGGCGACCCGGGGAGCAGGGCAGGCGCCGCCUUCGUGGGAAGGGACGUGCUCAGCGGCACCGCAACUUGGCCCAUGGAAGGAACAAAUCGGGCCGUGGGGCCAGCGCUUCCUGCGGGGGAACAAGACGGUGAAGGCAGGAAGCUCGGUGGGGUUUACAACCGGCCCCGGGAAAACUUUGUUGACUGGAUGAAUUCCAUUAGGGCAAAGCAGGGGCUGUUGGAGGCUGCGGCUUGGCCCCUGGAACGGUGAUUUCCCCUCAGCCCCUUGCUCCAGGCACUUGUGUCAGCGGGACGGACUCAGUCUGGCCCUGUGAGCUCCAGACACCACCACGUGCAGCUGC